UGGAGUUGCCGAGAAAUAAGACCCUCGAUUGUGAAAAAUACUAUCAUUGUAUAUGAUGGUAUAAAGCGCAAAAGUCUAGCUGAUAAGUAAGUUCUUCAUAAGAGGACAUUUCCAUUACGAAUUCAGUCGCAAACUGUAGAAUUAGCUACUCUACAAUUUAGUGAACGUUAGUAACGGUGUAAUUAAUAUAAUCUUUGGAAGGAUUAUUGUAUUACUAAAUAACUCCUC
rnacentral:ncRNA from 1 species